AACGAACGCUGGCGGCAGGCCUAACACAUGCAAGUCGAGCGAGACCUUCGGGUCUAGCGGCGGACGGGUUAGUAACGCGUGGGAACGUACCCUUUUCUAAGGAAUAGCCACUGGAAACGGUGAGUAAUGCCUUAUACGCCCUUCGGGGGAAAGAUUUAUCGGAGAAGGAUCGGCCCGCGUUAGAUUAGCUUGUUGGUGAGGUAAAAGCUCAC
rnacentral:rRNA from 1 species